GGGACAACAUUUGGAAACGAAUGCUAAUACCGCAUAACAACUUUAAACACAAGUUUUAAGUUUGAAAGAUGCAAUUGCAUCACUCAAAGAUGAUCCCGCGUUGUAUUAGCUAGUUGGUGAGGUAAAGGCUCACCAAGGCGAUGAUACAUAGCCGACCUGAGAGGGUGAUCGGCCACAUUGGGACUGAGACACGGCCCAAACUCCUACGGGAGGCAGCAGUAGGGAAUCUUCGGCAAUGGACGAAAGUCUGACCGAUCAACGCCGCGUGAGUGAAGAAGGUUUUCGGAUCGUAAAACUCUGUUGGUAGAGAAGAACGUUGGUGAGAGUGGAAAGCUCAUCAAGUGACGGUAACUACCCAGAAAGGGACGGCUAACUACGUGCCAGCAGCCGCGGUAAUACGUAGGUCCCGAGCGUUGUCCGGAUUUAUUGGGCGUAAAGCGAGCGCAGGUGGUUUAUUAAGUCUGGUGUAAAAGGCAGUGGCUCAACCAUUGUAUGCAUUGGAAACUGGUAGACUUGAGUGCAGGAGAGGAGAGUGGAAUUCCAUGUGUAGCGGUGAAAUGCGUAGAUAUAUGGAGGAACACCGGUGGCGAAAGCGGCUCUCUGGCCUGUAACUGACACUGAGGCUCGAAAGCGUGGGGAGCAAACAGGAUUAGAUACCCUGGUAGUCCACGCCGUAAACGAUGAGUGCUAGAUGUAGGGAGCUAUAAGUUCUCUGUAUCGCAGCUAACGCAAU
rnacentral:rRNA from 1 species